UACGGGGGGGGCAAGCGUUGUUCGGAAUUACUGGGCGUAAAGGGCUCGUAGGCGGCCAACUAAGUCGGAUGUGAAAUCCCCAGGCUCAACUUGGGAACUGCAUCCGAUACUGGAUGGCUUGAAUUCGGGAGAGGGAUGCAGAAUUCCAGGUGUAGCGGUGAAAUGCGUAGAUAUCAGGAGGAACACCUGUGGCGAAAGCGGCUCACUGGACCAUAACUGACGCUGAUGCACGAAAGCUAGGGGAGCAAACAGG
rnacentral:rRNA from 1 species